rnacentral:lncRNA from 1 species
AGUUCGGUCGAUCCCAAAGGUCAGUCUAGCAGUUUUUUAAUGUUUACUUCCUUUUUCCUAUCCCAUUCUGUUCUAACUUAUUCUGGCUUGUUACAGAUAUGAGGCCCAAAGAGCUUGAGGUGUUGAGAAGGAAGAAUGCAUAAAAGAAGAGGAAGACGUUCUCAUCAGCCACUGUCAGGGCCCAAAAGAAGCAAAGGCCCUCCAAAGUUGGUCAAGAAGAGGUGCUCCCUCUGGCCUCUUGCACUUGGGUGGAAACCAUAUAGGCUCCCCGAUCCAAUCUUGUGCCCCCAAUGUCGGCAGCUCCCCUAG